rnacentral:lncRNA from 1 species
UGUAAGCUUCUUUUGAUCUUUAAUGAAGUCACAGUUAUAGACUUAAACCUUUUUCCUUGUGUUGUAGAAUGCAUCCGAAUACGUAAGUCGCCAACCCAUAUAGGUCGGUUAGGUCGUUCGGCAACUCAUGCCGUCACGAAGGUGGGACAUGUCCUGACUUUGGCUCGGCCUUCAAUGGUCGAGGUCGUAAGUCUGGCGUCCUUUCCCCG